CUCUUGCCACUCUGAUUGACAAGCAGACCAACUUAGUAUUUGUGUUUGUCGUGGGCGCUAACACAUCAAAAGAAAAGUGCACCAAUUUUACCAGAAAGUACAAGAAGUUAGUCCGUCCAGCACUUGUGGUUCGUGUGAGGAACAUUUUGUAUGAUGUCUUUGAUGAAAAGAACACUGACAAUCGCACAACUCCAGCAAUGUCACUAUAAUGAAAUGGUCACCUUUAGAAGUUGGGCCUUUGAUUAUGUACCUUAGAUAUAUUUAUAUAUUUUUUUUUAUAUGUUAAAUUAUGUUCAUUAUUCAAGACAAAAUUAUGUUAGUGUAUAUGAAAUAAGUAAAUAUAAUUUUUUUGUCAAUUUUGUUAAUGUUUCUGAGUUUUACAAAUUGUUAGUGGUCCUGUACAUAUAAACUUAGUCUUAUCAUAAUGUAUGAAACUUUCAUCAAGGAGAGAUUGUAUUUAUUUAUUGACCAUUCCAGUGAUAUAAAUCACCUAAUUUCAUAACUUGUUUGAAUUCCACAUCUUGUGAAAUGAAUAAAGCAUAAUACAAAAAUAAUGAUACAUUUUUGUAAAAGAGAAUGAAGCAGUCAAAGAAAA